rnacentral:rRNA from 1 species
UACUCGAGUGGCGAACGGGUGGGUAACACGUGGGUGAUCUGCCCUGCACUUCGGGAUAAGCUUGGGAAACUGGGUCUAAUACCGGAUAGGAGCCAUCUUUAGUGUGGUGGUUGGAAAGUUUUUUCGGUGUAGGAUGAGCUCGCGGCCUAUCAGCUUGUUGGUGGGGUAAUGGCCUACCAAGGCGGCGACGGGUAGCCGGCCUGAGAGGGUGUACGGCCACAUUGGGACUGAGAUACGGCCCAG